CCUACGGGAGGCAGCAGUGGGGAAUAUUGGACAAUGGGGGAAACCCUGAUCCAGCGACGCCGCGUGAGUGAAGAAGUAUUUCGGUACGUAAAGCUCUAUCAGCAGGAAAGAAAAUGACGGUACCUGACUAAGAAGCCCCGGCUAACUACUUGCCAGCAGCCGCGGUAAGACGUAGGGGGCAAGCGUUAUCCGGAUUUACUGGGUGUAAAGGGAGCGUAGACGGCAGCGCAAGUCUGGAGUGAAAUGCCUGGGCCCAACCCCGGAACUGCUCUGGAAACUGUGAAGCUGGAGUGCAGGAGAGGUAAGCGGAAUUCCUGGUGUAGCGGUGAAAUGCGUAGAUAUCAGGAGGAACACCGGCGGCGAAGGCGGCUUACUGGACUGUAACUGACGUUGAGGCUCGAAGGCGUGGGGAGCAAACAGGAUUAGAUACCCUGGUAGUC
rnacentral:rRNA from 1 species